rnacentral:rRNA from 1 species
CCUACGGGGGGCUGCAGUGGGGAAUAUUGCACAAUGGGGGAAACCCUGAUGCAGCGACGCCGCGUGAGUGAUGAAGUAUUUCGGUAUGUAAAGCUCUAUCAGCAGGGAAGAUAAUGACGGUCCCUGACUAAGAAGCUCCGGCUAAAUAAGUGCCCGCAGCCGCGGUACUACGUAUGGAGCAAGCGUGAUCCGGAUUUACUGGGUGUAAAGGGAGCGCAGACGGCAGGGCAAGUCUGAUGUGAAAGUCCGGGCCUCAACCCCGGGACUGCAUUGGAAACUGUCCGGCCAGAGUGCAGGAGAGGUAAGUGGAAUGCCUGGUGUAGCGGUGAAAUGCGUAGAUAUUAGGAGGAACACCAGUGGCGAAGGCGGCUUACUGGACUGUAACUGACGUUGAGGCUCGAAAGCGUGGGGAGCAAACAGGAUUAGAUACCCUAGUAGUC